GACGAACGCUGGCGGCGUGCCUAAUACAUGCAAGUUGAGCGCUGAAGGUUGGUACUUGUACCAACUGGAUGAGCAGCGAACGGGUGAGUAACGCGUGGGGAAUCUGCCUUUGAGCGGGGGACAACAUUUGGAAACGAAUGCUAAUACCGCAUAAAAACUUUAAACACAAGUUUUAAGUUUGAAAUAUGCAAUUGCAUCACUCAAAGAUGAUCCCGCGUUGUAUUAGCUAGUUGGUGAGGUAAAGGCUCACCAAGGCGAUGAUACAUAGCCGACCUGAGAGGGUGAUCGGCCACAUUGGGACUGAGACACGGCACAAACUCCUACGGGAGGCAGCAGUAGGGAAUCUUCGGCAAUGGACGAAAGUCUGACCGAGCAACGCCGAGUGAGUGAAGAAGGUUUUCGGAUCGUAAAACUCUGUUGGUAGAGAAGAACGUUGGUGAGAGUGGAAAGCUCAUCAAGUGACGGUAACUACCCAGAAAGGGACGGCUAACUACGUG
rnacentral:rRNA from 1 species